rnacentral:tRNA from 1 species
CGUCACUUGGAGCGCGUUGACGCGGAUCUCCUCGACAUUGUCGAGUUCGGCGACGAUGGCGCCGGCACCCGUGCCGUUGCGGGUGAUGACGA